UACGGAGGAUCCGAGCGUUAUCCGGAUUUAUUGGGUUUAAAGGGUGCGUAGGCGGUUUGAUAAGUUAGAGGUGAAAUGUCGGGGCUCAACCCCGAAACUGCCUCUAAUACUGUUGGGCUAGAGAAUAGUUGCGGUAGGCGGAAUGUAUGGUGUAGCGGUGAAAUGCUUAGAGAUCAUACAGAACACCGAUUGCGAAGGCAGCUUACCAAACUAUAUCUGACGUUGAGGCACGAAAGCGUGGGUAGCAAACAGG
rnacentral:rRNA from 1 species